rnacentral:snoRNA from 1 species
UGCUCGGGUGAUACCAGCAAUAGGAAGUUUUGUCCGAGGCGACAACUGACGACCUCCCCCUCUUUUUAGCUGACC